UACGUAGGCAGCAAGCGUUGUUCGGAGUUACUGGGCGUAAAGGGUGUGUAGGCGGUUGUUUAAGUUUGGUGUGAAAUCUCCCGGCUCAACUGGGAGGGUGCGCCGAAUACUGAAUGACUAGAGUGCGGGAGAGGUGAGUGGAAUUCCUGGUGUAGCGGUGAAAUGCGUAGAUAUCAGGAGGAACACCGGGGGGGGAGACGGCUCACUGGACCGUAACUGACGCUGAAACACGAAAGCGUGGGUAGCAAACAGG
rnacentral:rRNA from 1 species